AUCAGAUCUGGGUUACUGCUAGAAACUGGUACACUGUCACCUUAGAAGGUAGCUUUCUGUGUCAACAACAUGGAAGACUCAAAAGAAAAACCGAGCUGAUGUAGCAGGAUGUAAAAGCUUAAAAGAGUUAAUCUCAACAAAAUAAUCACUUGUAAGGAUUCCCCUCCAGAGCGCUGUCAUAUGACUGCUACAUUCCCCUAGGCAGUAUGCCACAGGCCCCACGUCUCAUGGGUGGUGAAUGUGUGUGACCGAGAUAACCCACAGAAAUGACUCAGCUGCAAUGGAACCAUGACCCCACUGGAUCCGUAUCAGAACACCCGACUUCAGUUUCACCUGUGACAGUGGCCUCUCUGUAGCAGUUCUGCACUUGGUGGGGGAAAAAUUAACCCGGCCAUACCAGUUCAUCUGCAAGUCCUGCUGUGGUCCAAGGGAAGGAGAUGGCUGUGCAGAAGUCACCAAACUGCAUCUUCUGUCCAAGGAAGCAAACGGCAUGCGGCCCUCUCAGUAAGAAGGUGGCUGCCUCAUCCACCAUGCAAGAUACGUGUAUGUCUACUGCCCUUACUCAAGGUUUUGAAAGGUGCUGCGGAGGAAGACACAGUACUCUCAGCCUAAGUAGGCACGUGUUCCGAGCCACAGAACAGCGAUGAUAACGGGUUCCUCGUUCUAUUUCACUGUGUGGAAGCAUGGAGGACGGAUACUGUAACUCAUGCAGUAAAAUGCUGUCUGGCUGAAAGCACCGGUGCAUUUUGAAGAGGAAAGAGAAUCUUGCAGCAAAGGGCCAGGGCCGGCACCCAGGAGAUCUGGUUUUAUUUCUCAGUUCUGACACGGGCUUCCUGUAUGACCUCAGCAGAGUCAUGUAAUUGCUUGGUGCCUCAGUCCAUCAUCUCCUUAAUAGGGUUACUACUUACUUAUUUCCUUUCUCCCGCCCUGGCCUGUCUUACUUAGGCUGCAAUUCUGGCAGGGAGUAGAGCAUUUCUGACCACGUGCGGGGCCUUCACCUAGCACAGUGAGGCAUAAUGGCAGUGCCUGUGCAGCAAUGCAGUGUCAAUUAAAUAAAUAAAUGAAGAUGAUAAUAUCAUUUCGGACUAGAACUUCAGCUUGUAACCCAGCCCAAGGUCAAAGCAUGGUAUGGAACCGUGCGACGUGGAACCUUGGGACCUGAGGAAAUGCUGCCCCCGAGCAUGGACAGGUUUGGGGAAGGCUUUGGUGUUGGUGACAGCCAGCAGCUGGCCUGCUUGGGCUCCUCGUGGUGGUUGAGGAAGCCUCAUCACUCACAGCCUUGCGUGGUCUUUGGUCGUAACUUUGAUCUAGAGAAUAAUUCUGUGUGGAAACGCUUCAGAAGCACACCUGCUUUAACCCGAGUCAACACGUUUUGUACUGAAUCCAGGCCGUGGCUGAGGUUGACAUAGAGCUGGGCAAGAGCUGAUAGGCGCACACUGCUACACGGUGCUUUGUAAGGACAUUCGUGUUGAGAGUGCUGUGUUCCCUGUUUGUGGGUCACCCCUUUACCCAACCUGUCAUUAGCGACAUCCUCAAGCCUCAGAGGCCCUUCUGUCAGGGGCGGAGAACACAGUGGGGUGAUGGCCUUCACGUGGGCAUUGGCUGAGUGCUCUCCACCCUGCUGGCUGAGCGCAGUGCCAAAAGCAGGCCAGGUAAACUGGACUCCGGAGGUAAUACUGGCAAGAAUAACUUGCACGCACGUUUACAGCCCAGUUAGGAGGUGCGCUGUUGCUCCACUGCGACAAGCAGAGCUAUCUGCAGGUGGGAUUAGGCAGCAAGUCGGGCGAACGCGACAAAAAC
ensembl:lncRNA